rnacentral:tRNA from 1 species
GGAAGUGUGCCUGAAUCAAAGGAUCACUAUGAUAAAGUGAACAUGGAGGUAGCCAGUCCUCUCGCUUCCU